CGCGAAUCUGGCGCCGAAGAGGCAGGAUCGCCAAGCGGACCCGUUUUGGAGGUCACAGCUCCUCUGGGCGCGGCUUAGUGGCGGAGCUUGCCGUGAGGGGAGGGUCUUCCAUUUGUCGCCAGCGUGAACUCUGGUGCCCCGUGAGUGUUCGGAAUGGACCCCCAAAUCUGCCCCCGCCAGGUCGCACUUGACUCUGUUUCGACGACUUUUUUUGUAUCACUUUCUUUUCCUUUUUGCCUUGGGGUCCCUUUGGUCCCUCCCUUUCUCUUCGCUCUCAGAAAUCCGAGUUUCGCAGAUGCUUAGCUCAGAGGAGAAAAUUGUGUGCGGAAUUAAGUCCUUCCUUCUGUUAGGCAGUUGGAUGGGAGGGACCAAAAAUCACUUGGUGUCCUGACAAGAUUUGUUACUGUUGCUAAGAUCGUCAGCUCUAAUGCUUUGAGGGAGAUAACUUCCUGCAAACCCAGAACUUUCGGAUUUCUUCCGAGCUUGAAGCUUCUUCACUUACCACACCAGAAGAAACCUUGCAUGUGUGCAUUCAACAUGUCAAGCUUAUGUCCACAUCCUUCACUUCCUGCAAAUAGUGAUGUCUAAUCAGCACAGCUCUGUCUGCUCCCUGAUCUGGGCACACAUGGUCCCCUGAUCUCAUGGACUCCUUACACUUUGCAAUUGGAGGAAGAUCCUUCCAGAUCAUGCCACAUGAAGAUGGAGGCAGAUGUUGGACUGAUGCUUCUACAAGCCAGAGAACUCCAAGGUGGCCAGCAUAUCAUCAGAAGCUAUGGGAGAGUCAUGAAACAGAUCUUUCCCUCACUGCCCUCAGAAGGAACAGGUGGUGCUGACACCUUGAUCUCGGAUUCUAGCCUCCAAAACUGUGAGACAAUUUUCUCUUGUUUAAGCCAUCUAGUUUAUGGUACUUUGUUAUGGUGGCCUUUGAAACUAAUACAUGGUGCAUGGUCGAAAAGUUUGGAGACCCCAGUUAGAGAAUGGGAGCCAUGGAAGAAUUGGUAUAUGUUUAAGAGUCCAAACUAUAUAUGUCCUGUCUUUAUUCAUUUUCUAUAUUUAAUAACUAAUUUUAGGGCACCUAGGUGGCUCGGUUGGUUAAGCAUCUGACUUCAUUCAUGUCAUCAUCUCACAGCUCAUGAGUUUGAGCCCUGCAUUUGACUCUGUGCUGACAGCUCAAAGCCUGGAGCCUGCUUCUGAUUCUGUAUCUCCGUCUCUCUCUGCCCCUUUCCCUGCUCAAGUUGUGUGUCUCUCUCUCAAAAAUAAACAUAAAAAAAAAACCUCUAAAAAGUAAAUAACUAAAUUGAACAGAUUUCUUAGCUUAUCAGUACUUCUAUUAAAGGCACUAUAGUAGAAAACAAUGUGUUCAUCUUUGUGUUUGGUGUAGUUUAUGUUAAAGGAAGGAGGAAUUAGGAAAUACUUGACUUAGUAUACUUUAGUUCCAAACAGGGCCAGUUUUAGGGAAAAAAUUUAUAUUUAAGAACCCCAUUAGGCAGAAGUGGAGCCAAAAUCAGAAAUAGGGUCCUACCAACAGAAGUCAUACCUGUGAACAGUCUGAGAGUUUAUCAUCAGUGCUGAGAGGACUGUAGGCAAAGCAUAUAUUAUUCUAGCUGUGUAAUUUUCAAGUGCUAAAGACAACCUGUCCUUUUUAUACAAGUUAUACAUUAGUCAUGUGUGUGAGAUUCCAAAAUAGUAUGAUUGAGACAGUUUUCAAGGACAGGGGUAACACCUUAAACUCAGAUGUAUCUCUUUAGAACCUGUGUGUGGGUCAGCAAAAUCUGGAAGUCAGCAGUACAUUAAUUAAAUAGCUUAUUAUUUAAUAGUAACUAAUCUAUUAAUAUAAAACCCAGGUUAGUAGAUAUUAAUUAAUAUAUUAGCUAAUUAUUAUGUUUCUAUAGUAAUACCAAAUGUAUUUACACAUUAGUGAAUUUAACAUAUAUAUAAAUAUUUUGUUAUUUUAGGUCUUUUUUGGCCAUGGAAUAUGUGAUCAUUUUUGGCCUUAUUUAUGCAAGUCAGUGAAAACAUUUUGAAGUCCUACUUUUUAAAAAAUUCAAGUGUAUUUAUAAUAGCUGUGCCAUCCUUUAGACUUUUUAAAGUAAUAGAAUCAUUUCUUCAUAUAAACUCUUGUGUGGAAGCCCAGUAUGCUCAUAACUGCAUUAGCAGUGUACCCAUUAUAGAGGACUGGCCAUUUGUAGAAAUAUAUCCUCAUGUUUUAAAUCUUGUUUCUUAUAUCUAGUCUGGAAAUUCUGUACUUUGUGGAUAUAUUUUCUAUAUUCACUAUAAUUUGUUAACAGAAUGAAAAAGAAAUUAUAUAGAAGAGGAUAAUAAAUAUGCUACUGACCUAUGA